rnacentral:rRNA from 1 species
GACGUAGGGGGCAAGCGUUGUCCGGAAUUACUGGGCGUAAAGAGCUCGUAGGUGGGACUAUAAGUCGAUGAGUAAAUAUCUCGGCUCAACUGAGAUGCCAUUGUCGAUACUGUAGUUCUUGAGGACAGGAGAGGAAAGUGGAAUUCCCGGUGUAGCGGUGAAAUGCGUAGAGAUCGGGAGGAACACCAGUGGCGAAGGCGGCUUUCUGGCCUGAUUCUGACACUGAGGAGCGAAAGCCAGGGGAGCGAACGGGAUUAGAUACCCCGGUAGUCCUGGCCGUAAACGAUGGGCACUAGGUGUAGGAGGUAUCAAUUCCUUCUGUGCCGCAGUUAACACAAUAAGUGCCCCGCCUGGGGAGUACGGCCGCAAGGUUG